AGAGAAAGUGUUGGAAUUCAAAGAUUUGAUCAAGCAAAGGUGGUGAAUAAAUUACACUGGUAAAAGUACAGAGAUUGUGCUUAGAGACUGGGAUUAAGAGGACAUCGACUCCUAGAACUGCUCAGGGAUUCCAUAGUUAGCUGACUUUGACAAGGACCUUCAUUUGGACUUGAAUCGGCAAAAGCUAUAGGCUUUCAGCUUUCGAUGCAUUUUGGUUAGAUGUGGG